rnacentral:rRNA from 1 species
CCUGUAUGUUAAACGAGAAGACUUCAGAUAUGAUCCAGAGUACCACGGGACACGUGAAACCCUGUGGGAAGCAGGAGGGACCACCCUCCAAGGCUAAAUACUACCUAGUGACCGAUAGCGUAUAGUACCGUGAGGGAAAGGUGAAAAGAACCCCGGGAGGGGAGUGAAAUAGAACCUGAAACCCUGCACUUACAAGCUGUGGAAGCACAUUUCUUGUGUGACCGCGUACUUUUUGUAGAACGGGCCAACGAGUUACGUUAAGUAGCAAGGUUAAGCACUUAAGGUGCGGAGCCGUAGCGAAAGCGAGUUUUAACUGAGCGUUCAGUUACUUGACGUAGACCCGAAACCGGGCGACCUACCCAUGAGCAGGAUGAAGCGAAAGUAAAAUUUCGUGGAGGUCCGAACCCACGAGCGUUGAAAAGCUCGGGGAUGACUUGUGGGUAGCGGUGAAAUUCCAAUCGAGCCCGGAGAUAGCUGGUUCUCCCCGAAAUAGCUUUAGGGCUAGCCUCAAGGUGAGAGAUACGGAGGUAGAGCACUGAAUGUCCUAGGGGGUAUUGCACCUACCGAAGACUAUCAAACUCCGAAUGCCGUCAUCUUAUACUUGGGAGUCAGACUGUGGGUGAUAAGAUUCAUAGUCGAAAGGGCAACAGCCCAGAUCGUCAGCUAAGGUCCCUAAAUGUAAGUUAAGUGGUAAAGGAUGUGGGAUUGCACAGACAACCAGGAUGUUGGCUUAGAAGCAGCCACUCAUUCAAAGAGUGCGUAAUAGCUCACUGGUCGAGUGAUCCUGCGCCGAAGAUUUCCGGGGCUAAAACUU